rnacentral:rRNA from 1 species
CCUACGGGGGGCUGCAGUGGGGAAUAUUGGACAAUGGGCGAAAGCCUGAUCCAGCCAUGCCGCGUGUGUGAAGAAGGCCUUCGGGUUGUAAAGCACUUUCAGUGGGGAAGAAAGCCUUGGGGCUAAUACCCUCGAGGAAGGACAUCACCCACAGAAGAAGCACCGGCUAACUCCGUGCCAGCAGCCGCGGUAAUACGGAGGGUGCGAGCGUUAAUCGGAAUUACUGGGCGUAAAGCGCGCGUAGGCGGUCUGAUAAGCCGGUUGUGAAAGCCCCGGGCUCAACCUGGGAACGGCAUCCGGAACUGUCAGGCUAAAGUGCAGGAGAGGAAGGUAGAAUUCCCGGUGUAGCGGUGAAAUGCGUAGAGAUCGGGAGGAAUACCAGUGGCGAAGGCGGCCUUCUGGACUGACACUGACGCUGAGGUGCGAAAGCGUGGGUAGCAAACAGGAUUAGAUACCCCAGUAGUC